GAGGUUGGGGAGGUGGGGGGAAGCGAAGCCCUAAGAUGGGCGGAGAGAAGCAGAUGUGGAGGUGAUGGCGAAGACCCAGAUAUAAGCAGAUCCCUCAUGCUGCUCUGUGUCCUCCAGGGUUGGCCUGUCCAAGUUCAACAGUGGGCUUCCACACCCUCCCACUUCCAGCUGGGUUGGCCAAGGCACCCACCGGUCACUGGCUGAGUCUUGUUCCUGUGGUGGUAUUCAUUCCCAGCACAUUUGGCCUGCUCUGUAGGACCCCACUAAAACAGCAUCCUGCACAAAAUAGAACAUAGCAGGCCGGGCGCAGUGGCUCACGCCUGUAAUCCCAGCACUUCGGGAGGCCGAGGAGGGCGGAUCACCUGAGGUCACGAGUUCGAGACUAGCCUGGUCAACAUGAUGAAAUCCUGUCUGUGCUAAAAAUACAAAAUUUAGUCGGGCAUGGUGGCGGGUGCCUAUAAUUCCAGCUACUUGGGAGGCUGAGGCAGGAGAAUUGCUUGAACACAGGAGGUGGAAGUUGCGGUGAGCCGAGAUCAUGCCACUUCACUCCAGCCUGGGUGACAGAGCGAGACUCCAACUCAGAAAAAAAAAAAAAAAAGAAGAAGAACAUAGCACAUAGUGACAUUAGGCAAAAAGUGCUGGAUCAGUAAACUUGAGUUGAUUGGCUAAUAAAUGUUGAUUGAAUGAUUG